rnacentral:rRNA from 1 species
GGAUGAGUUGCGAACGGGUGAGUAACGCGUAGGUAACCUGCCUUGUAGCGGGGGAUAACUAUUGGAAACGAUAGCUAAUACCGCAUAACAAUGGAUGACACAUGUCAUUUAUUUGAAAGGGGCAAUUGCUCCACUACAAGAUGGACCUGCGUUGUAUUAGCUAGUAGGUGAGGUAAUGGCUCACCUAGGCGACGAUACAUAGCCGACCUGAGAGGGUGAUCGGCCACACUGGGACUGAGACACGGCCCAGACUCCUACGGGAGGCAGCAGUAGGGAAUCUUCGGCAAUGGGGGCAACCCUGACCGAGCAACGCCGCGUGAGUGAAGAAGGUUUUCGGAUCGUAAAGCUCUGUUGUAAGUCAAGAACGGGUGUGAGAGUGGAAAGUUCACACUGUGACGGUAGCUUACCAGAAAGGGACGGCUAACUACGUGCCAGCAGCCGCGGUAAUACGUAGGUCCCGAGCGUUGUCCGGAUUUAUUGGGCGUAAAGCGAGCGCAGGCGGUUUGAUAAGUCUGAAGUUAAAGGCUGUGGCUCAACCAUAGUUCGCUUUGGAAACUGUCAAACUUGAGUGCAGAAGGGGAGAGUGGAAUUCCAUGUGUAGCGGUGAAAUGCGUAGAUAUAUGGAGGAACACCGGUGGCGAAAGCGGCUCUCUGGUCUGUAACUGACGCUGAGGCUCGAAAGCGUGGGGAGCGAACAGGAUUAGAUACCCUGGUAGUCCACGCCGUAAACGAUGAGUGCUAGGUGUUGGAUCCUUUCCGGGAUUCAGUGCCGCAGCUAACGCAUUAAGCACUCCGCCUGGGGAGUACGACCGCAAGGUUGAAACUCAAAGGAAUUGACGGGGGCCCGCACAAGCGGUGGAGCAUGUGGUUUAAUUCGAAGCAACGCGAAGAACCUUACCAGGUCUUGACAUCCCGAUGCUAUUUCUAGAGAUAGAAAGUUACUUCGGUACAUCGGUGACAGGUGGUGCAUGGUUGUCGUCAGCUCGUGUCGUGAGAUGUUGGGUUAAGUCCCGCAACGAGCGCAACCCCUAUUGUUAGUUGCCAUCAUUCAGUUGGGCACUCUAGCGAGACUGCCGGUAAUAAACCGGAGGAAGGUGGGGAUGACGUCAAAUCAUCAUGCCCCUUAUGACCUGGGCUACACACGUGCUACAAUGGUUGGUACAACGAGUUGCGAGUCGGUGACGGCGAGCUAAUCUCUUAAAGCCAAUCUCAGUUCGGAUUGUAGGCUGCAACUCGCCUACAUGAAGUCGGAAUCGCUAGUAAUCGCGGAUCAGCACGCCGCGGUGAAUACGUUCCCGGGCCUUGUACACACCGCCCGUCACACCACGAGAGUUUGUAACACCCGAAGUCGGUGAGGUAACCUUUGGAGCCAGCCGCCUAAGGUGGACAGAUGAUUGGGGAAGUC